UGUACCUGUGUUUACCUGUGAACCAAUUUUCAGAGCGUAUCAACAUAGAGCGUGCUGGGUUCCAUUUUAGCACAAGUCCCUCGGAAAUAGGAAGCUGAUUAAUACACUUUAUGAAACAGAAUAAAAGAAAGAAACUAUUUAGGGCCAGCCAAAAUGAAUCAGAAAUAAGCUUGUUGUUGUUUUUUUGUUUUGUUUUUUCAGGAUCUUUUGUUAAAGACUAAAGUGCCUGUUAUAGAAAUUGUUUCAUGACAGAACUAGAACCUUACCAAUAAUCAAGGUUCCUGAGGAGACAUCACCUCACUGAGGAUAUCAGCAGAAGGAUAUUUGAUAUCUCUGGAAAACCCCAGAUUUGAUUGAAAAUGAGAAUACAAACUGACCAUCUCCCUCAGAACCAAUGUGAAGCCAAAGGGGAUGUUGCCAGACAGAACAGUAUAAGCCAAUAAAAUUGGAUCAUCAGGCAAGAAAGAGGCUCAGUGAGAGGCAUAGCCCAGCUUCAAAUGGGGAGCUCCAACUCCUAUCCGAUGCUUUUUAUCACACCAUUUGCUUCCCCAUGGCAUUACUGCAGAAGGUGAAUAAGCAGGUGAAGAAAACUUGAUGCAAGAGUUAUUGAUUCCUUAUGCCGCCUAAGAAAUUAAUGACAUGAGAAUGAAAAAAACAAAAUGGAAGUGCAAUAUAUAAUGAUAAUCAGGAGAAUCCCUGGCAAGUUGACAUACAUAUGGUGAACACAUGGCCUUCUCCUAAUUGAUUUAAUUCAAAAGAGGACCCAGGGGAAAGCUCUAAGCACUAUCUGUUUGAGAGCUUUGGGGAAUGUUUAUUUCAGAGUGAAGAGUGUAAGUGCAAUCCCAUCAGAGCCGUGCAGUUGAAACAGGUUGGGCAGUACCCGCACAUGGCCGGAAGCAUCACUGGUAUAAAUCAUUAGGAUAAUUUUAACUCAAGGUUUCUGAUUUGGCAGAAUAAUAUAAAAUACAGUUUAAAAUAAAAGUAGUCGUUAUUGAUUGUGAUGUUUAUUUCAAGUGAUGUUUAUUUUAAAAAUUGUACGAAAUUUCCUCCACUUGUAAAACUGUCACUUCUCAGGUGAAACUGCAUUCAUUGCCUAAUUAACCAGCACUACCCAGUUAGAGAUCAACUUGAUUACAUUCCACAAUGAGCUUGUGUUUGCCUAAUGCAUCCUCCACCUGAUAGAAAUAAUGCUGUAGCUAACCUACUGCGGAAGAGAUGGUGCAAUCGACUGCAUUCCUUCCCUGCAGCCUGCUGUAAAUAAAGCCAUGUGCCUAUCGUCUGUUUGCUAAAUGGCUCCUAGAUGAUAGUAAUCCAGCUGCAACAAAACUAAAACCAACUUGCGUUCACUCUCUUAUUGUCCUCCCUGGUUUGGCUCUAAAAAUAAGGUCAAAAUACCUGGCAUUAGCUGAUGAUGGCCUUAUUGGUUUGGAGCUUAUUUAAAUUCUAAAUAUUGGAUUACUGGACUCAAUUUUUAAAAUGUGACAUCUGCCCAUAGCCCUAUCAAUGUCUUUGUGUCAAUUAUGCCCUAUAAUC